rnacentral:rRNA from 1 species
UACGGGGGGGGCAAGCGUUGUUCGGAAUUACUGGGCGUAAAGGGCUCGUAGGCGGCCAACUAAGUCAGACGUGAAAUCCCUCGGCUUAACCGGGGAACUGCAUCUGAUACUGGAUGGCUUGAGUUCGGGAGAGGGAUGCGGAAUUCCUGGUGUAGCGGUGAAAUGCGCAGAUAUCAGGAGGAACACCGAUGGCGAAGGCAGGUCUCUGGGCCACUACUGACGCUGAGAAGCGAAAGCAUGGGGAGCGAACAGG